rnacentral:rRNA from 1 species
AAGCGAAGCUCUUGAUCGAAGCCCCGGUAAACGGCGGCCGUAACUAUAACGGUCCUAAGGUAGCGAAAUUCCUUGUCGGGUAAGUUCCGACCUGCACGAAUGGCGUAAUGAUGGCCACGCUGUCUCCACCCGAGACUCAGUGAAAUUGAAAUCGCUGUGAAGAUGCAGUGUACCCGCGGCUAGACGGAAAGACCCCGUGAACCUUUACUACAGCUUGGCACUGAACAUUGAACCUACAUGUGUAGGAUAGGUGGGAGGCUUUGAAGACGUGACGCCAGUUGCGUUGGAGCCGUCCUUGAAAUACCACCCUUGUAUGUUUGAUGUUCUAACGUUGGCCCCUAAUCGGGGUUGCGGACAGUGCCUGGUGGGUAGUUUGACUGGGGCGGUCUCCUCCCAAAGAGUAACGGAGGAGCACGAAGGUGGGCUAAUCACGGUUGGACAUCGUGAGGUUAGUGCAAUGGCAUAAGCCCGCUUAACUGCGAGAAUGACGGUUCGAGCAGGUGCGAAAGCAGGUCAUAGUGAUCCGGUGGUUCUGAAUGGAAGGGCCAUCGCUCAACGGAUAAAAGGUACUCCGGGGAUAACAGGCUGAUACCGCCCAAGAGUUCAUAUCGACGGCGGUGUUUGGCACCUCGAUGUCGGCUCAUCACAUCCUGGGGCUGAAGUCGGUCCCAAGGGUAUGGCUGUUCGCCAUUUAAAGUGGUACGCGAGCUGGGUUUAGAACGUCGUGAGACAGUUCGGUCCCUAUCUGCCGUGGGCGUUGGAAGAUUGAAGGGGGCUGCUCCUAGUACGAGAGGACCGGAGUGGACGAACCUCUGGUGUUCGGGUUGUGUCGCCAGACGCAUUGCCCGGUAGCUAAGUUCGGAAUCGAUAACCGCUGAAAGCAUCUAAGCGGGAAGCGAGCCCUGAGAUGAGUCUUCCCUGAUACUUUAAGUAUCCUAAAGGGUUGUUCGAGACUAGAACGUUGAUAGGCAGGGUGUGUAAGCGCUGUGAGGCGUUGAGCUAACCUGUACUAAUUGCCCGUGAGGCUUAACCAUACAACACCCAAAGGGUUUUG